GUGAGGAAUAUUGCACAAUGGAGGAAACUCUGAUGCAGCAACGCCGCGUGGAGGAUGACGCAUUUCGGUGUGUAAACUCCUUUUAAGAGGGAAGAUAAUGACGGUACCUCUUGAAUAAGCACCGGCUAACUCCGUGCCAGCAGCCGCGGUAAUACGGAGGGUGCAAGCGUUACUCGGAAUCACUGGGCGUAAAGGGUGCGUAGGCUGGCUUUUAAGUCAGGUGUGAAAUCCAAUGGCUCAACCAUUGAACUGCACUUGAAACUGAGAGCCUAGAGUUCAGAAGGGGCAGAUGGAAUUAGUGGUGUAGGGGUAAAAUCCGUAGAUAUCACUAGGAAUAUCAAAAGCGAAGGCGAUCUGCUGGGAUGAUACUGACGCUGAGGCACGAAAGCGUGGGGAGCAAACAGGAUUAGAAACCCCAGUAGUCC
rnacentral:rRNA from 1 species